ensembl:lncRNA
CUUCACUUUCUGCCAUAAGAGGGGUGUCAUCUGCAUAUCUGAGAUUAUUGAUAUUUCUCCCGGCAGUGGGUUAGCACUGAGCUAAAUAACUCGUCUCUGUCUCAGUUCCCUGUAGGCAAGUGUCCUGAGGUGCAGACACUGGUGUCACUUAUAGGCUGAGGCGAGCUCCGCUGCUUGGAAUUAGCAUCAGCCUUCUUCCCGGGAUGUGCUGUGGGGAACACAUAGGAAUAUAAGACAUCAUCCAUCGCAAUCCCAGCAACUUCACAGUCUAGGGAGUAGCCAAGAUUUGGCUCACAAGUCAAAGCAGCUUGCUGUUUAGGCAACCUCCCAUGUGGCCUUUGUGGACGUGACGGAAAACUGAGAGCCCAGUGCAGUCUGAGCAUCCAUAUCCAGUUGAAGGAGACCCAGCGGUUGGCAAGAGUGGGCUGAAGUCUACUGCACCAAGGUCUGCAAAGUAUAUACACACAGGUCAAACAUCAGUCCUUGCCUUAGUUCUGUUUAAUAUUUUAUUUUUUAAAUUAAUUUUUAUUGGAG